AUUGAACGCUGGCGGAAUGCUUUACACAUGCAAGUCGAACGGCAGCACGGACUUCGGUCUGGUGGCGAGUGGCGAACGGGUGAGAAAUACAUCGGAACGUGCCCAGUCGUGGGGGAUAACGUAGCGAAAGCUACGCUAAUACCGCAUACGAUCUAAGGAUGAAAGCGGGGGAUCGCAAGACCUCGCGCGAUUGGAGCGGCCGAUGGCAGAUUAGGUAGUUGGUAGGGUAAAGGCCUACCAAGCCGACGAUCUGUAGCUGGUCUGAGAGGAUGAUCAACCACACUGGGACUGAGACACGGCCCAGACUCCUACGGGAGGCAGCAGUGAGGAAUUUUGGACAAUGGGCGCAAGCCUGAUCCAGCCAUUCCGCGUGCAGGAUGAAGGCCUUCGGGUUGUAAACUGCUUUUGUACAGAACGAAAAGGCUCUGGUUAAUACCCGGGGCCCAUGACGGUACUGUAAGAAUAAGCACCGGCUAACUACGUGCCAGCCGCCGCGGUAA
rnacentral:rRNA from 1 species